AAGGUGUCCGGAUACUGCAGCUAUAAACGUUAUGUGAACUAACACAGAACAGAACUAGGCCAUGGAAGACUGAACUUGUCUCACUCGCCCUGUGGUUUAGGCACGGAGGUAGCAGUCACUAGCACUUAACUCUGAAGAAGCAGAUUAAUGUUUAAUGACCUCUGAAAUUUGGGUUUCUAAGCUUUCAGAAGGGCAUAGUUAUAACACCGGUUUCAAAUGCAACCAACAGAUAGCAAUGACUAAAAAUCCCUUCAGAACUAAAUAUGGAGAAAAAGCACAGAUGAAAGCAAAAAUGCGGUGAAUAAUAUCCAGCGCGCAGGGAUAUAAAUGCUGAGCUCCCCAGCCCUUUUCAGUUCUGGAGAGCGUAAGCUGCACUCUACGGGCCACUGGCCAGCAGUGAACAGAUCUGCCUGCUUGUAUGGUGCAAAGGCCUCAUUUCCAGCUAGACUGCAGUAACUGCCAGAUAUGUUAAGCAGCUUUCUCGAUGCAUCUUUCCAUGUCAGUAGCUGUUCCUGUAGAAGAGGACUUAUUAGAUUAUAAAUGGGGUGGGAGUAUAGGGAGCUCUGCAGGCAGCAGGGAAAUAUGACCAUGAGAUAUUCUCUGUAUGAAAAAAGUCUACAGCUAAAAAAAAAAAAAAAGCCUAGAACUGUGACACAGCUUUCAUGAUUAGUCCUGAUGGUUUGCCAGAUAAUACCUUCAAUCUUACUGCUUUAUAAGAUAUAGCACAGGUGCUGUGCUAUUAUUACAGACAGGGAGAGAGCAAAGCCUGGGCUUUGGGCCCAAGUAAAUUUUGUUCCUUGAGGAUUCACAUGUUAUCACAGAAACAGAAAUUUUAACUAAAACUAGCCUACCUUAUACUUGGUAAUGAUGAUCUAACAGUUGCAACCACCAUGUCGUGUUAAAUACCAUACUGCAACUAAGUAACUAAGAGUCUUUGGCCCCAGUCACCCCCAAAAAGGAUGGGGGAGGAAGUCUCAGGCACAAUUCCUGCCAAUUCUUUGCAUUAAUCGUCUUGCACUCAAUGGCUUGAGAAAGUCUAGAAAGGCUACAGCUAAGAAAAAAGAAAGUUUAGACUAAGUCCUAGGUUCAAAAGAUAACAAGUCAGUGUUCUGCUGUGCUACGCCCAGUACAGUCCACAGCCAAACCUCUUUAAUUUGCUCUUCUGGAAUCCUGUGCUGUUACAGACAAAACCCACAGUGUCUUUACAGAUUGCUAAAAGGAAAAGAAACUAAAUAUUAGAUCUCCUUAGGAACCACCUUGCAUUUCAAUUGAUAAUGAACUACAGAUUCAGUACCAUUAUUCUUUUAAGAUGUGGUAAAACGGACCCUUUCACUUUUCUACCUCUUCCACCAGACCAUGUCAUUCGCUAAGCCUUGAAGAAACGUGUCAGCCAACAGUAGAUCUUGCUUCACUUUCUCAGUAGGGACCACGAACAAAAUCCCUUAAUUUUCAGGACGGUGAAUAAGAGAUUGGAAAGGAACCAGCCCAGUAUAAUCCAGCACAUCACAGUGGGAAAGGAAGUAGAAAAAUGUGUUUCCCCAUUGUACAGAUCCAACCUUUUCCAAAUUAACCUUGUACUCCAGGAUUCCAUGGCACUUGGUGACCUUUCCAAGGUGAGAAUCUGCUGGAUUUAACUUUUAAAGCACAAAUGAACAAGGGCACAACAAAACUGUCCGAACACUCCAUUAAGAGUCACAAAUUCCACGCAAGCCGGUAGAGCCCAUGAAGCACGGAGAUGUUAGAAAGAACAUAGGAAACUACUUAUCUGGCUUUACAAUAUUGGGGAAAGGCAGUAGGGUCAUCACCUCUCUAUGAAUUUGUGCAGUCUUGAUGUCCAAACUUGCUAGCAUUAAGCUCUCUCAACUGACAGUAUCAAUCAGUUGUUAUUAAUUAAUCUACCUUCUUCAUUAGUUUCAUCAGGUAGAAACAAAUGAAAGCAGAAUAGCAAAGCAGAAAAGCAUAUUCAUAAAAGCUAUACAAGAUUAAUGCAAUGAUCUAUUACAAUGUUUUAGAACAACUGUUUUACGACCAAUAAUUCAAAGAGAUUUAUUGCAGAAAUAUACUGGGACCAGCAACAGGACAAUAAAUUUGCAUUCUGCUGGGGAAAGGAUACAGCCUAAGAGUCAACAGUUUACAAUCUUGAUUAUUAAUACAAUCUUUUCUCUCUAAGACCCACAUAGUUUAUCCUGAUAGAGUCGAGUAUCUUCUCUAGCACAUACUAUUAUUAUGCAUUUGAUUAGUCUUUCAUCAAUGCUCUUUGUGAAAAAUUAAAUUAAAAUGCUUAUGUGAAGGGCACUCCUAUGAUAAAUUAGGCCUACCUGGUAACAGAGGUUUUCACUGACAAAAGACACCUAGAGGGUGUGACUACCUGCUUUUACAAUAACUUUUGUAUUUAGUUUGUUACUUAACAAGAUAAUUUUGGCACUACUUAGAGCUAGUUACCAGUACUGCCGAUGGUCUUUUUGCCAAAGUAACAACAACGGGAUACAACAUGUAUAUUGAUAAGGG